CAAGUGUCACCUGUUGAUGUGCACAUGAAGCUGUCCUCUGGGCCGUCCCUGCUCUCUGGGCACACCCUUGCACUUUUAAAGGAACAGUGGCAGGCAGCCAAGCACUAUGGACCUGGGGGGUAGAUGGCAUCAGAUGGGAUUUGGACACACUCAGACUCUGCCUGGCACUCUGACCAUCACUACUGCUACAUCCACACUCUUACGCUGUGCAGCGAGACGCAUUGCCGUUCCACAAUAAAUGCAGAGAGCUGGGGGGGGGCGGCGGCAGCUGAAGAGGCUGAUAUCUUCUGACUGGCUGGCCAGAAAGAUGAGUGACUGACCGACUGUAAAGGGUGUAAGAAAGAGGACAGAUUGAUUGUCUCUCUUUUCAAAUGCUGUAAGAAGUUUGGAAUUUUUGAAUAUAAACAAUAUUGAAAUUGAAGUCUUCAAUCACCUUUAUAUAUUGUACAAUCCUUAUCUUAUUGACAAUGUACACAGACUUUUUUUAGCAUUGAGGACCUCGUGUACACUAAUGUAUACAAUCAUACAAGUUAAUUUGUUAACUUAAGUUAAUAAGUAGUAGCUUAAGCUGGGCUUUCGACCCAGUAUGAGACGUUGGUUUUUAUAUUUGUUAUCUUAUUU